UACCUUGCCGCUAGCUUAAUCUA
rnacentral:rRNA from 1 species